CACCUGAGCAGCUUCCAGUCCUCACAUUGAUUCUGAGGUCGGGAGGACCCGGAAGUACAGACCAAAGUCACCAGGGUAACGGUACCAUAGAGAGGAACCAGAGACACCAUAGAGAGGAUGGCCGCUUGCUGACACCUACUGAUUGCCAACGUUCUUGAGAUAUUGAACAUAAUCGUCGGGUCCCUUACUAUCAGAGGAGGUGACAGGACUGGUGGUUAUAUCAUAGUACAUCAGGGCCUUAUCAAUGCCUUUGGAGGUGGGAGGUCAGGGCUGUCUGCCCCGGUUCGUACCUCACUGGAAUCACUUGCUUCCCUCUCUAGGUCUGGUCUACGAACCUUUUUACUCGGGAUGCAUGGAUCCAGGUAGGACUUUCCUCUGUCAGGACUGCUGUUCGGGUAACUGCUACGACCUCUGUCUCUGGACCAUAGGUGAAGUCUCCUGGGCUCUUGUUCCUGGGGAGCACCUUCACCACGACUCUGUCUCCGACUU